GGUUUUUUCCAUUACACAGGCAGAGCGGAGCGGAGCGGAGCUGCCUGCUCGCCCGGCUCCCCCGCCUGCAACCUCUGGCACCGCUUUUCCAGCGGCACAUUGUGCAAAUGUAACCUUUCAGCGAGCCACUCCUAGGGCAGGAAGCCGGGGGGCUCCGCUCCUGCCAGGAACGCAGCCGGCGCGGAGCUGGAAGGCAGCCCGUUAAUCAGAGGCGGCUGACAGCGAAGCGCGCAGCCUGGGCAACAGAUUUCUGCUCCCUCUCCCUCCUUCGAGCUGCCUCGCCUUCCCGCUCCCGCUCGCUGCCGGCUCGGCUACACGGUCUGGCCUGCCAUCCCGCCUUCCUCCUCGUCCUCAUCCUCGUCCUCGUCCUCGUCCUCAUCCUCGUCCUCGUCCUCAUCCUCGUCCUCAUCCUCAUCCUCGUCCUCAUCCUCAUCCUCAUCCUCAUCCUCAUCCUCGUCCUCGUCCUCGUCCUCGUCCUUAUCCUCGUCGUCAUCCUCAUCCUCGUCCUCGUCCUUGUCCUCGUCCUCAUCCUCAUCCUCAUCCUCAUCCUUGUCCUCGUCCUCAUCCUCAUCUUCAUCCUCAUCCUCAUCCUCGUCCUCGUCCUCGUCCUCGUCCUUGUCCUCGUCCUCGUCCUUGUCCUCGUCCUCAUCCUCAUCCUCGUCCUCCGCUUCCUCCCCUUCCUCAUCCUCCACUUCCUCCCCAUCCUCGUCCUCAUCCUCAUCCUCAUCCUCAUCCUCAUCCUCAUCCUCAUCCUCGUCCUCGUCCUCGUCCUCAUCCUCGUCCUCCCCUUCCUCCCCUUCCUCAUCCUCCCCUUCCUCUCCAUCCUCAUCCUCUGUUUCCUCCCCUUCAUCCUCCCCUUCCUCUCCAUCCUCAUCCUCCGUUUCCUCCCCUUCCUCGUCCUCUGCUUCCUCCCCUUCCUCAUCCUCCCGUUUCUCAGGCUCCCAGCUGGGCUCCUGCUCCCAGGCACUCGCUUUCCCUCCCCGUGCCUCUUGGCAGGAAACCUUUUGGGACCCAGCUGGGGACCCGUCCCAGAUGUCACCGUGAGGAGGGGACCGCUGUGCAGCCGCAGCCAGACCCAGGUGAAGCCCACACCGGAGCAUCGUGCCCAGGGAUGCUGUGCUGGAGGGUGGGACCCCUCUGUGGCUCCCCAGGACCUUGUAGAGGGUCCCCCAGUGACCCACCCAACCAGGUGGGUGUCACCCUGUCACACCCCAGUCAGGACUGUGCCCCUGGGGCUGGGUCACAGUCAUUUUCCUUUCUCUUGGAGGCACCCACCUCCUGCCUGCUCCAAAUAAAUGUGAGUUUUAUCUCCUGUGUUGGCAGCAAACACAUCAGGGGGGGCUCUGCCCUGCACCCACACACCAGCACACCCACACUAGCACUGGCAGCCCCUGCCCCUCAGGGAGGUUCAUCCCCAGCUCAUUGCCCCUGGCUUGUGGCAGCACCAUGGCUCCAGUGGGGCAUCUCAGAUGUGCAGGGCCAGGAGCCUCUCCUGGGAAGAGGGGCUGUUUGGGGGUGCCAGCCUGUCCCAUCCAACCCCCAUGGCUCUGUC
ensembl:lncRNA